GACGAACGCUGGCGGCGUGCCUAAUACAUGCAAGUUGAGCGCUGAAGGUUGGUACUUGUACCAACUGGAUGAGCAGCGAACGGGUGAGUAACGCGUGGGGAAUCUGCCUUUGAGCGGGGGACAACAUUUGGAAACGAAUGCUAAUACCGCAUAAAAACUUUAAACACAAGGUUUAAGUUUGAAAGAUGCAAUUGCAUCACUCAAAGAUGAUCCCGCGUUGUAUUAGCUAGUUGGUGAGGUAAAGGCUCACCAAGGCGAUGAUACAUAGCCGACCUGAUAGGGUGAUCGGCCACAUUGGGACUGAGACACGGCCCAAACUCCUACGGGAGGCAGCAGUAGUGAAUCUUAGGCAAUGGACGAAAGUCUGACCGAGCAACGCCGAGUGAGUGAAGAAGGUUUUCGGAUCGUAAAACUCUGUUGGUAGAGAAGAACGUUGGUGAGAGUGGAAAGCUCAUCAAGUGACGGUAACUACCCAGAAAGGGACGGCUAACUACGUG
rnacentral:rRNA from 1 species